GGUGAACGCUAGCUACAGGCUUAACACAUGCAAGUCGAGGGGCAGCAUUUUAGUUUGCUUUGCAACUGAAGAAGGCGACCGGCGCACGGGUGAGUAACACGUAUCCAACCUGCCGAUAACUCCGGGAUAGCCUUUCGAAAGAAAGAUUAAUACCGGAUAGUAUACGAAUAUCGCAUGAUAUUUUUAUUAAAGAAUUUCGGUUAUCGAUGGGGAUGCGUUCCAUUAGUUUGUUGGCGGGGUAACGGCCCACCAAGACUACGAUGGAUAGGGGUUCUGAGAGGAAGGUCCCCCACAUUGGAACUGAGACACGGUCCAAACUCCUACGGGAGGCAGCAGUGAGGAAUAUUGGUCAAUGGGCGCGAGCCUGAACCAGCCAAGUAGCGUGAAGGAUGAAGGCUCUAUGGGUCGUAAACUUCUUUUAUAUGGGAAUAAAGUUUUCCACGUGUGGAAUUUUGUAUGUACCAUAUGAAUAAGGAUCGGCUAACUCCGUGCCAGCAGCCGCGGUAAUACGGAGGAUCCGAGCGUUAUCCGGAUUUAUUGGGUUUAAAGGGAGCGUAGGUGGAUUGUUAAGUCAGUUGUGAAAGUUUGCGGCUCAACCGUAAAAUUGCAGUUGAAACUGGCAGUCUUGAGUACAGUAGAGGUGGGCGGAAUUCGUGGUGUAGCGGUGAAAUGCUUAGAUAUCACGAAGAACUCCGAUUGCGAAGGCAGCUCACUAGACUGUCACUGACACUGAUGCUCGAAAGUGUGGGUAUCAAACAGGAUUAGAUACCCUGGUAGUCCACACAGUAAACGAUGAAUACUCGCUGUUUGCGAUAUACAGUAAGCGGCCAAGCGAAAGCAUUAAGUAUUCCACCUGGGGAGUACGCCGGCAACGGUGAAACUCAAAGGAAUUGACGGGGGCCCGCACAAGCGGAGGAACAUGUGGUUUAAUUCGAUGAUACGCGAGGAACCUUACCCGGGCUUAAAUUGCAACAGAAUAUAUUGGAAACAGUAUAGCCGUAAGGCUGUUGUGAAGGUGCUGCAUGGUUGUCGUCAGCUCGUGCCGUGAGGUGUCGGCUUAAGUGCCAUAACGAGCGCAACCCUUAUCUUUAGUUACUAACAGGUUAUGCUGAGGACUCUAGAGAGACUGCCGUCGUAAGAUGUGAGGAAGGUGGGGAUGACGUCAAAUCAGCACGGCCCUUACGUCCGGGGCUACACACGUGUUACAAUGGGGGGUACAGAAGGCGGCUACCUGGUGACAGGAUGCUAAUCCCAAAAACCUCUCUCAGUUCGGAAUCGAAGUCUGCAACCCGACUUCGUGAAGCUGGAUUCGCUAGUAAUCGCGCAUUCAGCCAUGGCGCGGUGAAUACGUUUCCCGGGCCU
rnacentral:rRNA from 1 species